rnacentral:lncRNA from 1 species
GGGUUCUUCGUGAUAAUAGGAAUAAUCUGUUCCUUCUUGGGCAGUUUCUCUGAUAGGUGAAUAAGUGUUGUUCAUCAUUUUACUUGAUCAAAAAUCGAUCUGGGUGUGUGUGUUUUGGGGUAUAUCAGGUGUUCUUCGUCUUGCUCUGUUUAAUAUUCUUGCAAAUUCAGCUGAAAAUCGAUCUGGGUGUUUGUGUUUAGGGGUAUAUUAGCCGUUCUUCGUUGUGCUCUGUUUAAUAUUCUUGAAAUUUCAGCUAAAGUUACGAUCUUGGUGUGUUCUUUUGGGCGAUUUCGAGGUGAUGGUUGUGUAUCUUAGCUGUUCUUCUUUGUGCUCUGUUCUUGAAAAUUCAGUGGAAAAUCGAUAUGUUGGGGUGUUUGAGAUUUGGGGUUCUGGGUUUGGGUGCAGUGGGGGUGGGGUGGAAGAUGAACGGUGGUGGAGAUGGAGAAAAAUGGUGGCUAUAUAUAUAUAUAUAUAUUGUAUGUAUAUGCGUGUGUGUAUUGUGUGAGGAGACGGCUGAGAAAGAUGAAAGAAAUGAGGUGUUUUGA